rnacentral:lncRNA from 1 species
AGGUUAUCUCUGGGCUGGCCAUAGGAAAGACCAAGUGAUUAGGGGCUUGGAACUUUCUCUCCAUUGACCACCAGAAAGGGGAGGGAGAGGCCCAGAGAUUAAGCUCUGUAACAAACAACUAGAUUUGGUGAGCUUUCUGGUGGGUGAACACAUGGAAGUGUCAGGAGGGGGCACACCCAGAGGGCAUAGAAGCCCCCAACCCCUCUUUCCAUACCUUGUCCUGUGCGUCUCUUCU